rnacentral:rRNA from 1 species
CUGGGGAAACCCAGGCUAAUACCGCAUACGUCCUACGGGAGAAAGGGGGCUUCGGCUCCCGCUAUUGGAUGAGCCUAUGUCGGAUUAGCUAGUUGGUGAGGUAAAGGCUCACCAAGGCAACGAUCCGUAGCUGGUCUGAGAGGAUGAUCAGCCACAUCGGGACUGAGACACGGCCCGAACUCCUACGGGAGGCAGCAGUGGGGAAUAUUGGACAAUGGGGGCAACCCUGAUCCAGCCAUGCCGCGUGUGUGAAGAAGGCCCUCGGGUUGUAAAGCACUUUCAGCGAGGAAGAACGCCUAGCGGUUAAUACCCGUUAGGAAAGACAUCACUCGCAGAAGAAGCACCGGCUAACUCCGUGCCAGCAGCCGCGGUAAUACGGAGGGUGCAAGCGUUAAUCGGAAUUACUGGGCGUAAAGCGCGCGUAGGUGGCUUGAUAAGCCGGUUGUGAAAGCCCCGGGCUCAACCUGGGAACGGCAUCCGGAACUGUCAGGCUAGAGUGCAGGAGAGGAAGGUAGAAUUCCCGGUGUAGCGGUGAAAUGCGUAGAGAUCGGGAGGAAUACCAGUGGCGAAGGCGGCCUUCUGGACUGACACUGACACUGAGGUGCGAAAGCGUGGGUAGCAAACAGGAUUAGAUACCCUGGUAGUCCACGCCGUAAACGAUGUCGACCAGCCGUUGGGUGCCUAGAGCACUUUGUGGCGAAGUUAACGCGAUAAGUCGACCGCCUGGGGAGUACGGCCGCAAGGUUAAAACUCAAAUGAAUUGACGGGGGCCCGCACAAGCGGUGGAGCAUGUGGUUUAAUUCGAUGCAACGCGAAGAACCUUACCUACCCUUGACAUCUACAGAAGCCGGAAGAGAUUCUGGUGUGCCUUCGGGAACUGUAAGACAGGUGCUGCAUGGCUGUCGUCAGCUCGUGUUGUAAAAUGUUGGGUUAAGUCCCGUAACGAGCGCAACCCUUGUCCUUAUUUGCCAGCACGUAAUGGUGGGAACUCUAAGGAGACUGCCGGUGACAAACCGGAGGAAGGUGGGGACGACGUCAAGUCAUCAUGGCCCUUACGGGUAGGGCUACACAUGUGCUACAAUGGCCGGUACAAGGGGCUGCGAGCUCGCGAGAGUCAGCGAGUCCCUUAAAGCCGGUCUCAGUCCGGAUCGGAGUCUGCAACUCGACUCCGUGAAGUCGGAAUCGCUAGUAAUCGUGAAUCAGAAUGUCACGGUGAAUACGUUCCCGGGCCUUGUACACACCGCCCGUCACACCAUGG